GAUGGGUUAGAUUCCCAUCCACGGCGGAACAGAAAGCCGCCGUCAAGGAAGGCUUUCUUAGCCGUGGAAAAAUUCCAGGAGUUCUAGGAUGUGUGGACGGGAGUCUGAUAGCCAUCGUUCGCCCUAAGAAGCUCGGCCCCGGCGAAACGGAAUCGUACUGGAGCCGUAAAGGGUAUUACACCCUCAACUGCAUGGUCGUGUGCGACGCGAAGCUGAAUAUCCUGGAAAUUGACCCACGGUUUCCGGGAUCGUGCCACGAUUCUUUCGUCUGGAGGCAUUCUGCAUUUCGCCGCCGCCUCACUCGUGGCCUGUUACUUCAUGGAGAAGUCUUGCUUGGGGACUCUGGGUACCCGCUAGAGCCAUGGAUCAUGACUCCUGUGCCUGGUCACCCAAAUCGCCUCACGACAGAGGGGCGCUAUAAUGAGGCACACGCAUCAAUGCGAAAUGCCGUUGAGCGGUGCAUAGGAGUCGUCAAGAGCCGCUUCCGAUGCCUGCAGAGGUAUCGGGUGCUCCACUACUCGCCUCGGAAAGCAGCCACUAUUGUUGCAGCUUGUGCAGCGCUGCAUAACCUCUGCCUUGCAGCAGGCGUGCCUCUGCCAGAUGACGACGGUGCACAUGACGACAGCGCACAGGGGCCAGCCCAGGCACA